AUAGACUUCGUCCAAGCCACCCAGCAGUUAAAACAUGAGGGUUCAAGCUGUAAUUCRAAUAACUGGCGUAAGCGCACUGCAGGGCGGUUCUUAAAUUUUACAUGUGAAAUUCCCCGCUUUUAACUGGGCAACCUCGCAUUUGAAACUGUCAAAGCGAGAAGUCUUGUAGAGGGGGGGCUAGAAUUGCAGAGCUAGCGAUGAAAUGUGUAGAAGAUCUGGGAGGAAUACCAGGUGGCUGAAGGCGGCCCCCCUGGACAAAGACUGACGCUCAGGUGCGAAAGCGUGGGGAGCAAACAGGAUUAGAUCCCCUGGUAGUCCACGCUGUAAACGAUGUCGAUUUGGAGGUUGUGCCCUUGAGGCGUGGCUUCCGGAGCUAACGCGUUAAAUCGWCCGCCUGGGGAGUACGGCCGCAAGGUUAAAACUCAAAUGAAUUGACGGGGGCCCGCACAAGCGGUGGAGCAUGUGGUUUAAUUCGAUGCAACGCGAAGAACCUUACCUACUCUUGACAUCCAGAGAAUUCGCUAGAGAUAGCUUAGUGCCUUCGGGAACUCUGAGACAGGUGCUGCAUGGCUGUCGUCAGCUCGUGUUGUGAAAUGUUGGGUUAAGUCCCGCAACGAGCGCAACCCUUAUCCUUUGUUGCCAGCGAUUCGGUCGGGAACUCAAAGGAGACUGCCGGUGAUAAACCGGAGGAAGGUGGGGAUGACGUCAAGUCAUCAUGGCCCUUACGAGUAGGGCUACACACGUGCUACAAUGGCGUAUACAAAGAGAAGCGAACUCGCGAGAGCAAGCGGACCUCAUAAAGUACGUCGUAGUCCGGAUUGGAGUCUGCAACUCGACUCCAUGAAGUCGGAAUCGCUAGUAAUCGUAGAUCAGAAUGCUACGGUGAAUACGUUCCCGGGCCUUGUACACACCGCCCGUCACACCAUGGGAGUGGGUUGCAAAAGAAGUAGGUAGCUUAACCUCGGAGGCGCUUACCACUUUGGAUGAUCUCCC
rnacentral:rRNA from 1 species